GCAUUGUGGCUCAGUGGUACAGUUCUUGCCUAGCAUGUGAGAGGCCCUGGGUUCCAUCCUCAGCCCCAUGUA
rnacentral:tRNA from 1 species